AUACUUACCUGGCAGGGGAGAUAUCAUGAUCAAGAAGGUGGUUCUCCCAGGGUGAGGCUCAACCAUUGCACCUGGUUUGUGCUGACCCCUGUGAAUUCCCCACAUGUGGGAAUCUCGAUUGCAUAAUUUCUAGUGGUGGGGGACUGCGUUCGCCCUCUCCCCUG